AGAGUUUGAUCCUGGCUCAGGAUGAGCGCUAGCUACAGGCUUAACACAUGCAAGUCGAGGGGCAGCAUGGUCUUAGCUUGCUAAGGCCGAUGGCGACCGGCGCACGGGUGAGUAACACGUAUCCAACCUGCCGUCUACUCUUGGACAGCCUUCUGAAAGGAAGAUUAAUACAAGAUGGCAUCAUGAGUCCGCAUGUUCACAUGAUUAAAGGUAUUCCGGUAGACGAUGGGGAUGCGUUCCAUUAGAUAGUAGGCGGGGUAACGGCCCACCUAGUCUUCGAUGGAUAGGGGUUCUGAGAGGAAGGUCCCCCACAUUGGAACUGAGACACGGUCCAAACUCCUACGGGAGGCAGCAGUGAGGAAUAUUGGUCAAUGGGCGAGAGCCUGAACCAGCCAAGUAGCGUGAAGGAUGACUGCCCUAUGGGUUGUAAACUUCUUUUACAAAGGAAUAAAGUCGGGUAUGCAUACCCGUUUGCAUGUACUUUAUGAAU
rnacentral:rRNA from 1 species